GAUGAACGCUGGCGGCGUGCCUAACACAUGCAAGUCGAGCGAACGGACCAGGAGCUUGCGUGUCUGAUGCUAGCGGCGGAGGGGAGAGUCACACGUGUAUAACCUACCUAUCAGACUGGGAUAACUACGGGAAACCGGAUCUUAUACCGGAUGAUCUUUUGAACCGCGUUGGUCAAAAGUGAAAGUCGGUCUUUCUGUCACUAAUAGCUGGAUCCGCGCUGCAUUAGCUAGUUGUGAGGGAAACGGCAUAUCAAGGCAAGGAUGCAUACCCGGCCUGAGAGGGUGAUCGGCCACAUGGGAACUGAGACACGGUCCAGACUCCUACGGGAGGCAGCAGUAGGGAAUCGUCCGCAAUGGGCGAGAGCCUGACGGAGCAACGCCGCGUGAGUGAUGAAGGUCUUCGGAUCGUAAAGCUCUGUUAGUAGGGGAGAACAUAUGUGUAAUUAACUGUGCAGAUCUUGACGGUACCGGGUCAGAAAGCCACGGCUAACUACGUG
rnacentral:rRNA from 1 species